AAUCAACGCUGGCGGCGUGCCUCAGACAUGCAAGUCGAACGAUUAAACUUUCCUUCGGGAAAGAUAUAAAGUGGCGCACGGGUGAGUAACACGUAAGUAAUCUACCUUUGAGUGGGGAAUAACGUUCGGGAAACGGACGCUAAUACCGCAUAAUGCAGCGGCACCGCAAGGUGACAGUUGUUAAAGGAGCAAUUCGCUUAAAGAGGAGCUUGCGGCAGAUUAGCUUGUUGGAAGGUAACGGCUUACCAAGGCUACGAUCUGUAUCCGGUCUAAGAGGACGGUCGGACACACUGACACUGAAUAACGGGUCAGACUCCUACGGGAGGCAGCAGUCGGGAAUUUUGGGCAAUGGGCGAAAGCCUGACCCAGCAACGCCGCG
rnacentral:rRNA from 1 species